rnacentral:rRNA from 1 species
AACGCUAGCUACAGGCUUAACACAUGCAAGUCGAGGGGCAUCGGGAUUGUAGCAAUACAAUUGCCGGCGACCGGCGCACGGGUGAGUAACACGUAUCCAACCUACCGUUUACUCGGGGAUAGCCUUUCGAAAGAAAGAUUAAUACCCGAUGGCAUAAGAAUUCCGCAUGGUUUUCUUAUUAAAGAUUUAUCGGUAAUCGAUGGGGAUGCGUUCCAUUAGAUAGUAGGCGGGGUAACGGCCCACCUAGUCAACGAUGGAUAGGGGUUCUGAGAGGAAGGUCCCCCACAUUGGAACUGAGACACGGUCCAAACUCCUACGGGAGGCAGCAGUGAGGAAUAUUGGUCAAUGGGCGCGAGCCUGAACCAGCCAAGUAGCGUGAAGGAUGACUGCCCUAUGGGUUGUAAACUUCUUUUAUACGGGAAUAACACGCGGCACGUGUGCCGUUCUGCAUGUACCGUAUGAAUAAGCAUCGGCUAACUCCGUGCCAGCAGCCGCGGUAAUGCGGAGGAUGCGAGCGUUAUCCGGAUUUAUUGGGUUUAAAGGGAGCGUAGACGGGUCCUUAAGUCAGUUGUGAAAGUUUGCGGCUCAACCGUAAAAUUGCAGUUGAAACUGGGGACCUUGAGUGCGGCAGAGGCAGGCGGAAUUCGUGGUGUAGCGGUGAAAUGCUUAGAUAUCACGAAGAACUCCGAUUG